rnacentral:rRNA from 1 species
AGACCUCUAAUCGGAGAAGACCACCCGCUGAGUU